rnacentral:lncRNA from 1 species
CUCAAGAUUUCCCAUGAUUUCUCGCUCAAAAAUCGCCCCAAGCUGCGUUUUUUUCGUCCAAAAAUGUGGGAAUGAGCUAAAAAAACAAGACAUCUCAAUAAAACACGAUUCUAGUUGCUAAAAACCCCAUUCCAUCACUAAAAAGUGCCAAAUCUGGUCGCUAAAGUUGCACACCAGAUCCUGCUGCACCAGCAAUAUUUAUUUUCACUAAAAAGGCUCUAACUACACCAUACGAACUCGAAAUUCGAUGAUUCUUGUUACUAUGAUUUACAAAUAAUAGUACAAACAUAGCCCUUCAAUCGAAACUCAAUUCAGAGCUCAUUUGCACAGUGCGAUACCCAUUUUGCUCGAUAAACAAUUAACUUAUGUUUCGCAUCAAAAACCCAAUCGUGACUUGAUGAAAUUAGACCAAACUUUCCAAAUCACUCCGAUAAUUCAUUAUCAAAAUUUCGGAAGUCCCGAAAUCAAACUUCGAUCUCUAGAACUAAAAACAGACCUUUGGAUCAUUACAUGAUUAUGCCCAAAACGACAAAAAUCUUCCAAAAACUCUUCCAAAACUUAUCUGAGCCUCAUGGGACCCGACCAAAUAUGCCAACACACCCCAUAACAUCAUUCAAACUUGUUUCAACCUUCAUAACACUCAAAACAAUAUCAAAAUAUCGAAUCACUCUCGGAUUCAAGCCAAGAAUUCCAAAACAUCUGAAUUCCGAAUUAGAUCAAAAGGUCUAUCAAACCUCGUCCGAAUGACCUGAAAAUAUGCAUACACGUCACAAAUGGCACAAUGGACCUACUUCAAUUUCUGGAAUUCCAUUCCGACCCUGAUAUCAAAAUUUCCACUACUGACCGGAAAACGGCAAAUUUCCAAUUUCGUCAAUUCGAACCUAAAUCUAUCACAGACCUCCAAAAUACAUUCCGGACGCCCUCCCAAGUCCAAAAUCACCUAACGGAGCUAACCAAAUCAUAGAAAUCCAAAUCUGAGAUCGAAUACUAAAAAUUCAAAACUUGGUCAAACCUUUCAAAUUUAAAGCUUCAAGCUGAGAAUGGUUCUUCCAAAUCUAUUUUGAUUGUCCUGAAAACCAAAACCGACGAUUUACAUAGAUCAUAAUACAUCAUACGUGGCUAGUCAUGCCCGAGAACUGGCAAGUGAAGUGCAAAUGCUCAAAAUGACUAGUCGAAUCGUUACAUAAAGGAAUCUAUAAUUUUCCACCUACGCAAGAACAAAGCUAGUAAAUUAAAUCCUAUUCUCGCCAGCUUGUAUUGAAAAGCUAAUUACAAGAAAAAGGACAACCUAAUUUGGCUAAGUUAUGCUAAAAUAGUCAACAAUUCAUUAUGGUCUAAAUUCAAACUCAAGAUAACAAUGGUAGCAAUUUUAUCUAUAACAGAGUUUUCUAUCAAACACAACAACCAAACCAUCAUUUAGCAUGCUCUAAACAGUUUUCUAUCAAGAAAUAGAAAAGGUUUUGCUGCUAACCUUGUAAGAAACAUACUGGCAGCAAAUUAUAAUCUUAAAAUAAAUAAACCAACGAAUACAAAGGACCUUUGAUGGAACGUAUUGUCCAUAUAUGAUUUAUCAGUUCAUUUAUUACGAUCUACCAAAUAAUAGAUGUAAAAAUCAUUUUAGAGCAGCAUUAGCCAGUUAAUUAGCUUUUUCUUCAAGUUUUAUACACUUUGUAUGCAUAUGCAUCAUACAUACACAUCACACAAUAGAGAACACAUCAGUACAUAGCACCAAUAUUUAACCUUAAUAUAGAAAUAGAUGAAAAUUGACCUCAAAUAUUUCCUCUACGAGUCCAUAAGACAAAUAUGGCAACGGUUUGAGCUUUAAGGGAUUAAUGGAGGAUUUUGGAGUGUUCCUCGGCAAAAAUGGCAACGGUUUGAGCUGCGGUUUUCACGUUGUUUAGAGAUGGUUUUACAGCUUUCUCGAGGCUGUGUUGUUGCAUUUUUUAGCUAGAAAUUCUAGCUAGUUUUUGGUGAUAUUUGGGCGAUUUGAAGGAAGGUUUAGAGGUGGUUCCGGAAAUAGCUGAUCGUGGUUGUUUGGGCUGCUUCUCAGUUGGGAUUUUUUGUGCUUUUUUUGGGGUAGUUAGGAUGGCAGCUCAUAGAAGAUGAUGGGCGUGGCUGAAGUUUUUAGAAUGGAGUCCGUGAGAGCUGCUGGUUCUCUUUUUAGUUGAAGAAAGGUAGAAACAGCUGUACAUGGGGGGGUUCUCUAGGGUUCGUAUAAAAUGGGGAGAUGAAGGGGUCUUUAGGUUAGCGGGUAUGGGCUUAGGUAUUAUGGGCUAGGUCCGAAUUGUGUCCUAAAAUUGGGCUCUAAGACUCUUAAGAUUGUGGUCCAAAACCUUAGUUAACUCCCUUUAAGAUAAGAUAAAAAUACUACACAAUGCAAAAACUAAUUCUAAUUAAUUAAAUUAAACUAUCUUAAAAUAUUAAACUAUUUUUUUUAUUUUCAAGAUUAUAUUAAGAUAAAAAUAAGGUACUUUUUUGUAUUUUUAAUUUUAUGAAAGGUACAUAAACCCAAAGUAACUAGAUAAAAUAUCAAUUAGCUAAAUAGAAGAAAAUAUUUUUGUAAUUUUGUAUUGUUGUUAUAAAAUAAAGUAAAAUAGUUAAAACUAGUUGAAAUAACGAUAUUAGGCCUAAACAAAAUAUUUCAAAGCUAAUAUAUGUAAAAUCUUAGGGAGGGUCAAAAAUCACAUGUCUACAGCUGCCCCUCUUUGACUGGAAACACGAAGUGUUUUCAAACAAAGAACGACGAGACAUGUUUUUUGACGAGACAUGUUUUUAGAGAGACCAAAAGCUAAAAGAAAGGAGAAUGUGACCGAGUCCUGGUAUCUGAGCUGCCUACAUAUCCUUGGAUAUAAAGGAAUCAGGUUAUGUGUAGUUCAAAAGUAGGAACAGUGGUAGGGUGUACCGAGGUGGAGAGCCGAUUGAGGUGUCGUCGAGGUUCCAGUCCGCGAUUCCUGCCAUUACUUCAAAAAUAAAAGGAAAAAUUACAGUAAAAAUAAAAGAAAAAAUACAAAAUCCUAUCUACUUUUUGUCAUGCUCUUUCUUGAAUCUCCAUUUGCUCUUUCAAAAAAUUCACCCCGUUCUUCAGGUGGGCCUCCUACUAACUUGAAUUUGAAGAAAACUGGAAGUUGACCCUGGUCUUCAGCCGGGCAUCCUGCUGUUUUCCCUUGAAAUAAACUUGAACUUUGAGUAGACUUGAGUUUGAAAACCUUGUUCCUCAGACGGAUCGUGCUACUUCUUAUUUGAAUUAAAAAUUGCCCCUAUUCUCCAGGCGAGAUCCUGUUGUCUUUUACUUGAAUCUUGAAUACUGGAAGUUAACCCUGCUCUUCAGGGGGGAUCCUCCUGCUUGAUUUUGACUUGAACUUGAAAACUGAAAGUUGACUCUACUCUUCAGGAGGGCUCCUGAUGCCUCUCACUUGAUCUUGAAAACUGAAAGUUAAUCCCGUUCUUCAGGCGGGAUUCUCCUUAUGCCUCUUGAACUUGAAAUUGAAACCCCAACACUGACCCUGUUCUUCAAGUGUGCUCCUGAUGCCUCUGACUUGAACUUGUAAACUAAAAGUUGACCCUAUUCUUCAGGCGGGAUUCUCCUAAUGCUUCUCUAACUUGAAAUUGAAAACUUAACAUGUUCUUCAUGUGGGCUCCUGAUGCCUCCUUGACUUUAACAUGUAAACUAAAACGUGUCCCUGUUCUUCAGGCGGGCUCCUAACGCUUCUCUAACUUGCACUUGAAACCAAUUUCUGAAAUAUUGACCCUCGUUCUUCAGGUGGGAUCCUCCUGCUUGAUCUCGAACGAAAUUGAAAGUUGACCCCGUUCUUCAGGCGGGUUCUUGGUGCUUCUUUGACUUGGACCUAAAACCGAUUUCUGAAAUGUUUCCCUCGUUCUCCAGGUGGGUGCAUGCAAUUAAAAAUAACAAAACAAAUAAAAUUUUCUACCCUAGUUUUCACUAGGAAGGUUUGUGAGUUGUUAACGAUAAUGUAAAUUACUUAUGCUAUUGAUGAAAGAUGCAAGGAUGAGGGUAAAACUAAAAAUUCAACUAAGAUGUGCGUCUCCUAUGAGAGCGUUCUUAAGGAAAACUAUAAGCUAAGCUUGACUAAAUUAAAAAUUACCCCUAUUCUUCAGGCAGGACCCUAAACUCAAGAAAACUAAGGAUUGAAAACCUAAGAAAACUAACAGCUGACCCUAUUCUCUAGGUGGGACCCCUGAACUUUAAGAGAAACUAAAUAUUGAAAUCUUAAGGAAACUAACAAUUGAUCCUAUUCUCCAGGCGGGACCCCUAAACUAAAUCCUAAGCACUUAAGAAAAUUAAAAAUGGCCCUAUUCUCCGGGUAGGGCUCCUGAACUUAAGGAAAGCUAAAGAUUAACAACUUAAGAAAACUAAAAUUGACCUUAUUCUCCAGGCGAGACCCCUGAACUCAAGGAAAACUAAGACUAACAACUUAAAGGAACAAUAAAUGACCCUAUUCUCUAGGAGGGAUCCCUGAACUCAAGGAAAACUAAAGACUAACCACUUAAGGAAAGUAAAACUAACCCUAUUCUGCAGGCGGGACCUCUGAACUUAAGAAAAACUAAAAACUCUUCUGACUAGGGAGAAUGCCUAGGAGAUAAUGGUCAUCUCAACUAGGUGAACGCCUAGCAAGUAAAAACCUUCUCAAACAACCUUUGUGCUGCCCAAAUUUGGGCAUUGCACUUGAAAAAUUCAAGCAUCCAAGCAUUGAUUUGGACACAGUUUUCAUCUCUGUUUGAAGCAAAGAAAACUUGUGAGUUUAAACAUAGUGGUUGGUUUGAGGCCUUGACUUUGAGAGCGAUUGCCCCUUCACUUGCCAUGAUAACUUUGAUUUUAACUUGAAAGACCUUGCUUGUUUAUUGACUAACCACUUUUCCUGUCACCCUUAUCACAGAACAUACCUCUGAUCUGUUCAAACCCAAUACCCUCUAUCUGUUGUAUUGUGCUCAUAAAUUGACAUAUACCAAACCUUUGUAUUUCACAUAAAUCUCAAAGCUGGUAGAAGAUUUUAAAGUCAUUCUUACUUGUUCCGGCAAAAUAGACUCGAGAGGACUUAGACAAAGCAAGAAGAACAAAGUUAAGAGGACAACGAAAAGAGAUGAUAUCUAACAAGAAAAUCACCAAGUAGAAACUUAUCAAAUGUGGAUACCAACUCUAAUGACUGUGACAUGCAUUCUGGAUUAAGUGGCCUAAUCUGUCACGCAAGUCUAAUGUUCAACUCUUGUAGUAUCUCUAAGCCGUGAAACUAGGUUUCGAUGCUCUGAUUAUCCUAUCUGAAUCAUGGUCCUUAUUUGACUUGUAAUGCCCGAAGGGUUUUCACCAUCAAGCCUCUCUCAUUUCUUUCUAUCAACUCAAUGUCGCCUUAUGGUGUCUGUGAAGGUUUUCACCAAUAAGACUCUCUCGUUUUGUUCUGUUGUUCUUAUUUCUUCUAAUUCUGCAGAUGACAAGGCAUUAACCAUAGUAAAAACAUCAUAUGCUCCUGGCAUGUCUAGCUUGGCACUCUCAAAGAUUAUCUGGGAGGUAUUUUUUAGACUGUAAUGUGGCUUUUGGACAGGGUUAGAAAGAAAGGAUAUCAUAAAGGCAAAAAUAACUAAGACAACAUGGUUAAUUUAUUUACAACUUUUGGAAUCCAUUAUAAAAACUUUGCCCCAAUUUCUAAUACAAGGGAAUUUGAUUCUUUUUUUUUUCUUUUUUCUUUUUGAGAUGGAUUUUCUAAGAAAGANNNNNNNNNNNNNNNNNNNNNNUGUUUUUGAAAUAUUUUUUUAAUGAAGUUUCUAAAACAAACCUUAUAGGGCAUGAAUUUUUUUCUUUUUUUUCCCUUUUUUUAUGUGAUGACUCUAACUCGAUUCCAAAAGAGGGAGGUCAAGAAAAUUAGCAUAGGUUCAAAAGGGGUACCAAAUGGUAUAAAGUGUUUAGGUAGCUGAAAGAGGGCCUCCCAAUCCAUGAAAAUGCCAAGUACAACAUUUCUUUUGAAGCUUUGGCAUUGAUGUCACUGAUAGGCCUUCUACUUUUUUUAGUGACUUGUCAAGUACAGAACUCUUGUUGGGUGAUUUCAUCACAAUGUAUACCCUCCGUCUGUUUGGAGCAAAAUCCCUUGGCUUUAUCUUGUUACUUGAUAUGUACUUGAACUCAAAGUUGCUCACUUCAAAUUAUCCGGGAUGCACUGUCCUUUAACGAAUUCUUGUAAUCCUAUUAACUUCCCAAAUUAUCUGCCCUAUUUUUACACACUUCUGGCUUUAAAUGAUCUCAAAAUGUCCAAAUAUGUACGUAUUUCCCUCAAAUGUCCCUAUCAUCUUCAAAAUUAUUUCAUUGUUUCAUGAUUAAACUAACUUUUAAGACCAGGCCUAGAAUUAUGCAUACAUGUCAUGUCACUAGAGCCAACAUGAAAAGAACUAUAAAAGGAGAAGAGAACUAAACAAAAAAUGACUAGAAAUAAUAUAAAACAGAAAAUUGCAUUAGAGAGAUGGUGAGAAGGGUUUGAACAACAAGACAAGCAAAAUAAACUAGGGUUACAACCCUGGAACAGACCUAGAGAACACUAAACGAGUUACUACGACUAAACAAACUAGCAAAACAAAAGGAUAGAAGGGUUUGAUUCCCAAGACAAUAUCUGGAUUACAACCCUAAAAUAACCCGGACAACAGAAAUAACAACAAAAUAAACCACCAGGACUCCCCCUGGCUAGCCAAGAAAGGAACAUCUUUCCAAUUACCAAGCUUGACAUCUUAGCCACUGAGCUCCACAUCAAUAUUACCAAGACCUUCACAAGUCUUCAUCACAUUGACCUUAGCAAAUUGCUUUUGGAUCCCUUUUACCGGCUCGUUCUUUAGAUCAACUGCCAGAACCGAGAGUGCUAAAAGCUUUGCGGCAAGUGGCCCUCUGAGGAUCUCAGAAGAGUUCUCAUAUUCCUUUUCAACACAAAUCAUACCCACCAUAUACGUCUCAUUAUGAACAGGCGAUGGACUUUGGCUAGUGUCUAGUGCAUCUGGAUUUUGCACAACAAUGUCACCUACCUCAAUAAGCUUAUGAACUGCUCUUUUCAGAUGCCAACACUUUUCUAUGCUGUGAGCCGGGGCAUUAGAGCAAUAUGCGCACCUUUGAGAAUAAUCAAAAUUCUAUGGAAGGAGGUUCGAAAUUUUUAUCUGAAUUGGCUUCAACAUGUCUAAUUGCCUCAACCUUUGGAACAAACUAGCAUAUGAUUCUCCAAUAGGAGUGAAAGUCUUUUCUUUUUCCUGUUGCCUUUUCAUUUUGUACUCUAACCUCAGCUGGAACCUUUUGCGGGUAGGUGGUUGCUAUGCUUGAGGAGGUGGGUAAGACAUUUGCGGAAGUGGUGCAGACCAUCGCGGGUCCUGUAGAUGUGGAGCAUAUGGUUGUGCAUUAUGGAUGGAGUACUGGGAAGGUGAGGUAUGACUUUGGGGAUUUUAUGGAGAGAAGUAGCAUUGGGGAGGAUUAUCUGGAGCACAAGGAUAUCCAUGGGGUCGAUAUUGAGGCUGAAAGCGUUGAGCAGGAAUGCCCACUGGAUCAUGUCGUUGGCGGGGCUCAACAACAUCUUUUCUAUUUCUUUUCUUUCCACCCAAACUUACUGAGAUGUUCUGAAUGUCUUCUGUAGUAUCUUUCAAAGCAGAAUAGCUCCUGAUUUUGCGUGACUUGAUUCCCUCUUCUACCAUCUCCCCUAUUUUUACCACAUCAUUGAAAGGUUUACCCAAGGCUAGGAUCAAAUAACUGAAGUAGGUGGGGCCAUGUGCCUAUAGAAAAAGCUCAACCAUUUCUUCUUCACCAAUCGGGGGACUGACCCGAGCAGCUUGUUCCCUCCAUAUGAGCCCAAACUUCCUAAAACUUUCUUCGAGUUUCUUUUCCAUCUUAGAUAGGGAGGAGCGGUCUGGGAUAAUAUCUAGAUUGUACUGAAAGUGUCGAACAAAAUCUUGAGUCAUGUCAUCCCAUGCAUGCCACUUACUAACAUCUUGACGGGUAUACCAUUCCAAGGCUGCCCCAGUCAAGCUCUCACUGUAAUUUUCCACUUACGCAAAAACAAAGCUAGUAAAUUUAAUCCUAUUCUCGCCAGCUCGUAUUGAAAUGCUAAUUACCAGAAAAAGACAACCCAAUUUGGCCAAGUUAUGAUAAAAUAGUCAACAAUUAAUAAUGGUAUAAAUUCAAACUCAAGAUAACAAUGGUAGCAAUUUUAUGUAUAACAGAAUUUUUUAUCAAACACAACAACCAAACCAUCACUUAUCAUGCUCUAAACAGUUUUCUGUCAAGAAAUAGAAAAGGUUUUGCUGGUAACCUUGUAAGAAACAUACUGGCAGCAAAUUAUAAUUUUAAAAUAAAUAAACCAACAAAUACAAAGGACCUUUGAUGGAACAUAUUGUCCAUAUACGAUUUAUCAGUUCAUUUGUUACGGUCUACCAUAUAAUAAGAUGUAAAAAUCAUUUUAGAGCAGCAUUAGCCAGUUAAUUAGCUUUUUCUUCAAUUAGUAUACACUCUGGAUGCAUACGCAUCAUGCAUACACAUCACACAAUAGAGAACACAUCAGUACACAACACCGAUAUUUAAUCUUAAUAUAGAAAGAGAUGAAAAUUGACCUCAAAUAUUUCCUCUACAAGUCCAUAAGACAAAUAUGUCAAGCCCCUAACCGAAACUCGACACAGCGAUUUGAGCUGCUGUUUUCACGUUGUUUAGAGAUGGUUUUACAUCUUUCUCGAGGCUGUGUUGUUGCGUUUUUUAGCUGGAAAUUCUAGAUAAUUUUUUUUGGUGAUGUUUGGGCGAUUUGAAGGAAGGUUUAGAGGUGGUUCCGGAAAUAGCUGAUCGUGGUUGUUUGGGCUGCUUCUCAGUUGGGAUUUUUUGUGCUUUUUUUGGGGUAGUUAGGAUGGCAGCUCAUAGAAGAUGAUGGGCGUGGCUGAAGUUUUUAGAAUGGAGUCCGUGAGAGCUGCUGGUUCUCUUUUUAGUUGAAGAAAGGUAGAAACAGCUGUACAUGGGGGGGUUCUCUAGGGUUCGUAUAAAAUGGGGAGAUGAAGGGGUCUUUAGGUUAGCGGGUAUGGGCUUA